rnacentral:pre_miRNA from 1 species
AAGCUUUGUCCUAAGUCAAACUUCUUCAAGUUCCAACAAGUCUUUAGAAAAAUCUACUAACAUCUACGAUAUCAAAGAAGUAUACUAUGAAAAUAAAUAUCAUGAUGGAUGUAAUAGAACUAAUUUAGAGUUGUAGAUGUUGGUAGAUUUUUCUACGAACUUGGUCAAACCUGAAGAAGUUUGACUUGAUACAAAGCUAG